rnacentral:snoRNA from 1 species
CACCCCAUCUUCACUUUGCCACCAGAAUUCCAUAUUUCCUUGGUGGUCAUUCAUAUGGGGGAAAUUAUUUAAUCCUUAUACACCUCAGUCAAACUCCUGUUUGAUUUUGAGUUGUAUUGAGGAGACAGUA